UCGAGCGAGUGGAACUAUGGCGAUCUUGGAUAAGACAAUCCUUACACUGGUAGAUUCUUAGGAUUUUGGAUUUUGGCCAGUCACUGGCCCACUGCAACUAUCUUGAUCAUCUAACUCCUCUUCGUUCUGAAGGUGGCUCCAUGCCUCAUAGCAGAUAGGAGGUCCUUCGAUAUAUCGAAGGCGUAAAAUAUCCUGCAGAGCCUUUUCUGAGGUGCCUCAUCACUACUCUACCACUGGAAUACGAGCUCAAGGAUACGGAGCCUCUGUUAAGUAAUCCUUAAACCAUCAAGUUUUUGGAUUUGAUCUGUGUGAAGUUGAAAUUUCUAUACCCAAAAAGUUUGUCGAAGUUAAAAUCGAUCAUAGCAUAGGCAAAACAUGCAAUAAUUUCAAUUCGGAGAGAUUUUCUGUGUUGAUAUUUAUUAGUUUCAAAAAUCAGCAUAUUUCAUUUAACAUUUUAAAUCAUUUUAAUAAAGCAAAAUUUCACAAA